CUACGGGAGGCAGCAGUGGGGAAUCUUGGACAAUGGGCGCAAGCCUGAUCCAGCCAUGCCGCGUGAGUGAAGAAGGCCUUAGGGUUGUAAAGCUCUUUUGGCGGGGACGAUAAUGACGGUACCCGCAGAAUAAGCCCCGGCUAACUUCGUGCCAGCAGCCGCGGUAAUACGAAGGGGGCUAGCGUUGUUCGGAAUUACUGGGCGUAAAGCGCACGUAGGCGGAUUUGUAAGUCAGGGGUGAAAUCCCGGGGCUCAACCUCGGAACUGCCUUUGAUACUGCAGAUCUAGAGUCCGAUAGAGGUGGGUGGAAUUCCUAGUGUAGAGGUGAAACUCGUAGAUAUUAGGAAGAACACCGGUGGCGAAGGCGGCCCACUGGAUCGGUACUGACGCUGAGGUGCGAAAGCGUGGGGAGCAAACAGGAUUAGAAACCCCUGUAGUCC
rnacentral:rRNA from 1 species